GCGUUAGUGGUGUAACGGUAACAUUCAACCCUUCCAUGAUUCACAGAUCGUGAGGUUGGGCCCUGGGUUCGACUCCCAGCUAACGCA
rnacentral:tRNA from 5 species